GAGGGUGUAGCUCAGUGGUAGAGUGCAUGCUUAGCGUGCGCAGGGUCCUGGGUUCAAUCCUCAGUACCUCCU
rnacentral:tRNA from 1 species